rnacentral:rRNA from 1 species
GGUUGCGAUCAUACCAGCACUAAUGCACCGGAUCCCAUCAGAACUCCGCAGUUAAGCCGUGCUUGGGCGAGAGUAGUACUAGGAUGGGUGACCCCCUAGGAAGUCCUCGUGUUGCAACCC